rnacentral:rRNA from 1 species
AUGCACGUCGAGUCUGCCUGCCACAUGCUGCUGGGCUGCUGCUGCUUGCACGGUGCCACCGGGGGCCCGUCGCCUUUCGUUCGCUGCUCCAUGCUGCUGUCGCCCCCGCCGAGCGCCAGCAGCGGCCCCACCGGGAAGACCCGCGGGCCCUGCCGCGCCGGGUGGCCGUCGUCUGCCGCGGCGGCGACACCGCCCGCCUCGCUGGGGAAGGAGUUGACGAGGACGGAGCGGAAGCUCCGCGCGCGGUGCAGAGCCCGGAGCCAGAACGCGAACCUCGAUUUCUGGGUAGCCGAGUCGCCUACGAGCCAUGGGAGCUCUUCGUUCUUGAGCUCUACCUGUGCCGGCAAGAUGUCGAGGGCUCGAAGCAUCUUGCCCUGGCUGAGCCCGUCGUCGUCAGACAGAUUCGGCGAUGAUUGA